CAGUCGCCGCGGGAAUACGAAGGGUGCAAGCGUUAAUCGGAAUUACUGGGCGUAAAGCGCGCGUAGGCGGCUUUUUAAGUCAGAGGUGAAAGCCCGGGGCUCAACCCCGGAAUUGCCUUUGAAACUGGAAAGCUAGAAUCUUGGAGAGGUCAGUGGAAUUCCGAGUGUAGAGGUGAAAUUCGUAGAUAUUCGGAAGAACACCAGUGGCGAAGGCGACUGACUGGACAAGUAUUGACGCUGAGGUGCGAAAGCGUGGGGAGCAAACAGGAUUAGAUACCCGUGUAGUCCCUGUCUCUUAUAC
rnacentral:rRNA from 1 species